AUACGUAGGGUGCAAGUGUUAAUCGGAAUUACUGGGCGUAAAGCGUGCGCAGGCGGUUUUGUAAGACAGAGGUGAAAUCCCCGGGCUCAACCUGGGAACUGCCUUUGUGACUGCAAGGCUGGAGUACGGCAGAGGGGGAUGGAAUUCCGCGUGUAGCAGUGAAAUGCGUAGAUAUGCGGAGGAACACCGAUGGCGAAGGCAAUCCCCUGGGCCUGUACUGACGCUCAUGCACGAAAGCGUGGGGAGC
rnacentral:rRNA from 1 species